rnacentral:rRNA from 1 species
GAUGAACGCUGGCGGCGUGCCUAAUACAUGCAAGUCGAGCGAACGGACGAGAAGCUUGCUUCUCUGAUGUUAGCGGCGGACGGGUGAGUAACACGUGGAUAACCUACCUAUAAGACUGGGAUAACUUCGGGAAACCGGAGCUAAUACCGGAUAAUAUUUUGAACCGCAUGGUUCAAAAGUGAAAGACGGUCUUGCUGUCACUUAUAGAUGGAUCCGCGCUGCAUUAGCUAGUUGGUAAGGUAACGGCUUACCAAGGCAACGAUGCAUAGCCGACCUGAGAGGGUGAUCGGCCACACUGGAACUGAGACACGGUCCAGACGCCUACGGGAGGCAGCAGUAGGGAAUCUUACGCAAUGGGCGAAAGCCUGACGGAGCAACGCCGCGUGAGUGAUGAAGGUCUUCGGAGCGUAAAACUCUGUUAUUAGGGAAGAACAUAUGUGUAAGUAACUGUGCACAGCUUGACGGUACCUAAUCAGAAAGCCACGGCUAACUACGUG